rnacentral:rRNA from 1 species
GACGUAGGAGGCGAGCGUUGUCCGGAUUCAUUGGGCGUAAAGAGCACGCAGGCGGUUUGGCAAGUCGGAUGUGAAAUCCCGGAGCUCAACUCCGGACCUGCAUCCGAAACUGCCCGACUAGAGGUAGGUAGGGGAGAUCGGAAUUCCUGGUGUAGCGGUGAAAUGCGCAGAUAUCAGGAGGAACACCGGUGGCGAAGGCGGAUCUCUGGGCCUUACCUGACGCUCAGGUGCGGAAGCUAGGGGAGCGAACAGG